AACGCUGGCGGCAGGCCUAAAACAUGCAAGUCGAACGAACCUUCGGGUUAGUGGCGCACGGGUGAGUAACGCGUGGGAAUGUGCCUCUGGGUGCGGAACAACGUCGGGAAACUGACGCUAAUACCGCAUAAUGUCUACGGACCAAAGAUUUAUCGCCCAGAGAUCAGCCCGCGUCUGAUUAGCUAGUUGGUGAGGUAACGGCUCACCAAGGCUACGAUCAGUAGCUGGUCUGAGAGGAUGAUCAGCCACACUGGAACUGAGACACGGUCCAGACUCCUACGGGAGGCAGCAGUUAGGAAUAUUGGACAAUGGGGGAAACCCUGAUCCAGCCAUGCCGCGUGUGUGAAGAAGGCCUUAGGGUUGUAAAGCACUUUCGGCUGUGAAGAUAAUGACAGUAGCAGAAGAAGAAGCUCCGGCUAAAUUCGUG
rnacentral:rRNA from 1 species